UACGGAGGGGGCUAGCGUUGUUCGGAAUUACUGGGCGUAAAGCGCGCGUAGGCGGACCUGCAAGUCGGGGGUGAAAGCCCGAGGCUCAACCUCGGAACUGCCUUCGAUACUGCGGGUCUCGAGUCCGGGAGAGGUGAGUGGAAUUCCUAGUGUAGAGGUGAAAUUCGUAGAUAUCGGGAGGGACACCGGUGGCGAAGGCGGCGACCUGGGUAGAUACUGACGCUGAGGUGCGAAAGCGUGGGGAGCAAACAGG
rnacentral:rRNA from 1 species